rnacentral:rRNA from 1 species
UACAGAGGUCUCAAGCGUUGUUCGGAUUCACUGGGCGUAAAGGGUGCGUAGGCGGGUUUUUAAGUCAGGGGUGAAAUCCUGGAGCUCAACUCCAGAACUGCCUUUGAUACUGAAGAUCUUGAGUCCGGGGAGAGUGAGUGGAACUGCGAGUGUAGAGGUGAAAUUCGUAGAUAUUCGCAAGAACACCAGUGGCGAAGGCGGCUCACUGGCCCAAUACUGACGCUGAGGCACGAAAGCGUGGGGAGCAAACAGG